CACGAGGGGCGCCCCGAACGGGGCUGAGACGGCGAGGGCCGAACCCUUUGAACCUGAUCCGGGUCAUGCCGGCGAAGGGACGUGGAC
rnacentral:ncRNA from 1 species